rfam:Myotis lucifugus cont2.44316, whole genome shotgun sequence.
GGUGGUUCUCUGGUGAUGCACCCCAGAACCAGAGAGGAGGGAGCCUGGGUCCGGGUGCGUCACCUGAGAACCGCC